rnacentral:lncRNA from 1 species
CUACAUAUGACAAUUGCUUGAAACCUGUAAAUAGCCAAUCCCUCAUAAUCACACUAUAUACUUGAUACUUGAAAGUUGAAACUCUUCUAGUGUUUUACAGCAGCAGGGUAUGUUGUCAGAUGUUUUGAAAUGCCUUGUGGACAACAAAAAGCACACGAGAGAGUGCACAUGAAAGUUCAAAGACCAUUUGGUUUGGGAAAGAUGCAUUUGGAAGGCGGAGCCUGCUUGUUCACUGGCCAAGUUCGAGAGACUCUAGGCUGCUACUAUCUUCUGUAUCCCCAAUUUCAUCCAUUUGCAGCAGUUCUGGUUUGUAUGCUACUAUGCUCUGUAGAGCCUUACCCAUUUGUUCCUUUAUAUUAAGUUUUUGUACGUGCCAUUGAUGACAGAAGAGAUGAUUAAUAAAUAAGCAGAAUCAAGUAUUGUUUAGCAAAUUUAGUUUCAGCACUUUUAUUUAUGUUGGAAAAAACAAAAAAUUAUGUACUGCUAGUAAAGAGUUGUGAUCUAGUAAUCUCAUAUUUGGGGGCAUAUGUAAGUGGCCAAAAUAAAUUGAGCAAAAUCAUGUCAUUUUCGUGCUUGAAUUUUUUUUGCAACUAUGUUUUCUUUCAUUUAUUAUGUUUCCCCCCUCCUUACUUUCAUAUUCUUCUCACAUCUAAUUGGUUAAUUGUGAUAUGAUGUAGGGUCUUACAAUAUUGG